UCUAGUUUUAUUGUUGAACCACGCUGGAAGGAAAUUAGUUUUGCAUUGAAAUUUUGUAGGCAUUUCCUAUUUUAGACCUUAAACAACCUACACAUUUGUGAAAGUGGACAUUAGUCGAAAAUUGAAAUGAGCGACAACCGAGAUAUAAAUCAACCAACUUUGCUUGCAGAGGGUAUAGAGAUAUCAAAAGGUCAACCUCCUAGUAGACUCAGAAUGAUAGGGGCACACUUUGUACGAAACAAGACGGAUUAUAUUUUGGGUUCCAUUUGGUUCUUAGUUCUUUGCUUCACUGUAGCUUAUGUGGUUCCUUUUUUGAGGUCUGAAUGUGAAAACAUGUAUUACAGGACUCUACUGGCACAUUCAGCUACGAGUUUGCUACGUCUUUAUAAAAAAUUCCAUCAGGCCCCUAUCAACUGUGAAUUCAUGGAACAAUUGCUACUAGAUGACAACACACACAACCUCCUCUACUCACUGAUUUUUUACUGUUUUCCUCCUUUCCCUUGCAAGUUCUGUUUUCUUGAAAUUAUACAUUCUUCAAUAAUUGCUGAUGGAAUUGAAUUGCUUUUUAGGGAUAUGGCUUCCAAUAUUUCUAUUUGCCCUUCUUCAUGUCAGUAAUUAUGGCAUAGAAGUGGUUGAGUGGUUUUCUCCAAGUGCCCUUGGUAUACUGAAGAAGGGCCUUGAAUUAAUUGAACUGCAAAGCAUAAAUAUUUUAAGGAUUAUUGCAAUCACAGAAAUAUUCAUUCUUCUCAUCAUUCCUUUUUCUCUUCUCUCCUUCUCAUUCAGUGGUUUAGCACUACCGGUCGUCAUCGUCGUUGUCUAUCUCAAAUUUUAGUAUGUCGUUACACGUCAAAGCAAAAUCCAUUUACUAGAAUCGUCUUUGGUGAACUUCUUGAAGAAAUUGAAGUCCUUUGCAACAAAUCGUUCUGCCCAGCAUGUGUCCGCAAUUUUUUAUACACAUUGAUGGCUCCUUUAACGUCACGAAUCGUUCGCAGCAGCAAAAAGGAGCAUUUCAUUCGGCUCGAAAAACCAUUACUUGGGAAGAAACGUUUUAUAUCUGGACUAUAAUAUUUGGACCACUAGUGAUAAAUUUUCGCCGUGGAUUACAGCCCCUCCUUGUGAACAGUACUCAAAAACAAAUUUUAGAUAAGCAUGUUUCGUGAAAAGCCCGUGGACAAAUCUACGUUCUAAAUUUAAAAAUGCUGAGGUUUCUCCUUAGCACUGUUACAAACUAUUAAUGUUCUGUUUCAACCAUUAGCAUUGGUAAGUAUUCGGAAGUGCUCAGGCUACCCAAAGUAAUGGGGGGAA